rnacentral:rRNA from 1 species
AUUGAACGCUGGCGGCAGGCCUAACACAUGCAAGUCGAGCGGAUGAAGGGAGCUUGCUCCUGGAUUCAGCGGCGGACGGGUGAGUAAUGCCUAUGAAUCUGCCUGGUAGUGGGGGAUAACGUCCGGAAACGGGCGCUAAUACCGCAUACGUCCUGAGGGAGAAAGUGGGGGAUCUUCGGACCUCACGCUAUCAGAUGAGCCUAGGUCGGAUUAGCUAGUGGGUGGGGUAAAGGCCUACCAAGGCGACGAUCCGUAACUGGUGUGAGAGGAUGAUCAGUCACACUGGAACUGGGACACGGUCCAGACUCCUACGGGAGGCAGCAGUGGGGAAUAGUGGACAAUGGGCGAAAGCAUGAUCCAGCCAUGCCGCGUGUGUGAAGAAGGUCUUCGGAUUGUAAAGCACUUUAAGUUGGGAGGAAGGGCAGUAAGUUAAUACCUUGCUGUUUUGACGUUACCAACAGAAUAAGCACCGGCUAACUACGUG